AGAUUUUCUCUUCUGGUUAGGGGGCCGAGGCCAUAAAGCGGGAUGUGUCAGGAUGAUCAACGCCGUGACCCGUUUGGGGUUGUUCGUUCCCAGAAACCAAAACCCCCAUGGAGGGCUCGCGCGCCGGCUGGCACCCGCUGAGGCUGAUAUUCUGGCCCACUUAGUUUGCUUGUCGCUAACAUAGAGCGACGGAGAUCGAUCCGAGUUGGGUCGUGCAGCAUAUCGUUGCGCGAGCCUUCAUUAUCUCCGGAUCAUUUAGGCGCUCGCUUCCAGCCGUGAGGUGGGAUGCGGGUUGUAAAUGAUCCUUUUAGCGAAGCUUGACCGCCUCGCUAUCGGAACGAUCUUACAAAAACCCUUGGUCUUUCUAGUCAAUGUCCGGCUGCGGAUGCGUUCAUCGAGGGCGCGUGCCGCAAGGCAAUUCUGCAGACAACAUUCUGCCGAGUGUGUGGACAUUGAUAAUGAGAGCAAUCAAGUGCCUUAAGGGUGUUCGGUGGAUGCCUUGGCGCUGAGAGGCGAUGAAGGACGUGCUACGCUGCGAUAAGCCGUGGGGAGCUGCGAAGAAGCUUUGAUCCGCCCGAUUUUCCCAAUGGGGAAAACCCGGA
rnacentral:misc_RNA from 1 species